AAAAAGGCUUUAGUCAAAGCCAUGAAUAAAUUAUUUUAAUAUCUAG
rfam:Myotis davidii contig136514, whole genome shotgun sequence.